GCUUCAAAAGUUAUAUCACAUAAUGUAAGCAAUACGUUUACACUCCAGGUGGCUUUUUCUUUUGUGCCUUCACAGUGUGUAGUGUGAAAUUUAAAUAUUUGAAAUACACAAACCAAAAAUAGCACUGAAAUUCUUUACAUUCCAUUCAUUUCAUGGGCACUGAACAGCCGAAUAAUUUUAUGUGUUGUUUAAAAUUACUUCCAUGUUACAAAGAUAAAUAAGUAGUCAAGUGUUGCUUAAAAAAUCACUGUUAAUACUAUAUGAGAACCACUUAUAACUUUAUGCAGUCAAAGUUAAAGGUAACUACUUCCAACGGAAAUCAGGGC
rnacentral:lncRNA from 1 species